CCUACGGGUGGCAGCAGUGGGGAAUAUUGGGCAAUGGAGGCAACUCUGACCCAGCAACGCCGCGUGAAUGAUGAAGGUCUUCGGAUUGUAAAGUUCUUUCGACAGGGAAGAAAAUGCCUAUAAGUAACUGUGUAUGUAUUGACGGUACCUGUAUAAGCAGCCCCGGCUAACUCCGUGCCAGCAGCCGCGGUAAUACGGAGGGGGCGAGCGUUGUUCGGAGUGACUGGGCGUAAAGAGCACGUAGGCGGUGUUGUAAGUCAUUAGUCAAAGACUAGAGCUCAACUUUAGUAAGGCUAGUGAUACUAUAAUACGAGAGUAUCAGAGAGGAUUGCAGAAUUCCUGGUGUAGCGGUGAAAUGCGUAGAUAUCAGGAGGAAUACCGUUAGCGAAGGCGGCAAUCUGGCUGGAAACUGACGCUGAGGUGCGAAAGCGUGGGUAGCAAACAGGAUUAGAUACCCUGGUAGUC
rnacentral:rRNA from 1 species